rnacentral:rRNA from 1 species
CAUCACCUACGGGACGCAGCAGUAGGGAAUCUUCCACAAUGGACGAAAGUCUGAUGGAGCAACGCCGCGUGAGUGAAGAAGGGUUUCGGCUCGUAAAGCUCUUUUGGUAGGGAAGAAAGGUAGAGGUAGUAACUGGCCUUUAUUUGACGGUAAUUACUUAGAAAGUCACGGCUUACUACGUGCCAGCAGCCGCGGUAGUACGUAGGUGGCAAGCGGUGUCCGGGUUUAUUGGGCGUAAAGCGAGGGCAGGCGGGU